CCUACGGGUGGCAGCAGUGAGGAAUAUUGGUCAAUGGGCGCGAGCCUGAACCAGCCAAGUCGCGUGCGGGAUGACGGCCCUACAGGUUGUAAACCUCUUUUGCCGGGGAGCAACGGGCGCCACGUGUGGCGCCACUGAGAGUACCCGGAGUAAAAGCAUCGGCUAACUCCGUGCCAGCAGCCGCGGUAAUACGGAGGAUGCGCGCGUUAUCCGGAUUUAUUGGGUUUACAGGGUGCGUAGGCGGAUCGUUAAGUCAGUGGUCAAAUUGAGGGGCUCAACCCCUUCCCGCCAUUGAGACUGGCGCGCUAGAGUGGAAGAGAAGUAUGCGGAAUGCGUGGUGUAGCGGUGAAAUGCAUAGAUAGCACGCAGAACACCGAUGGCGAAGGCAGCAUGCCGGCUUCCGACUGACGCUGAAGCACGAAAGCGUGGGGAUCGAACAGGAUUAGAUACCCUUGUAGUC
rnacentral:rRNA from 1 species